UCUUCAGCCUCCCUCACCUCCCUCAGCUUUGUCCGACCCUUCCCCUCCCUCAGCUCAGUCCGACUCUCUCAGCUCAGUCCGACCCUCCCCUCCGUCAGCUCAGUACGACCAGCUCAGUCCGACCUUCCCCUCCCUCAGCUCAGUCCGACCCUCCCUCAGCUCAGUCGAGUCAGUCCGACGCUCCCCUCCCUCAGCUCAGUCCGACCCAUCUGAGUUUACUGUGGAAUCUCCGAGACUUGGGCUUUGAAAAGCCGUUUGUUUUAGCUUUUUAAGAUCCUAAAACGGAGAUGGAAGACACAAACAUAGACACAAACAAAUCUGGUUCUUCCUCGCUAAGUGGCUCUCCCUUGAGAACCAGACGUUGUCCCUUGCCAACUAUGCGGUCUCCUUCGCCAUUUUCACGAUCAAUUUAGUAGCCUUUUUAAUUUCUUAGACUUGUUGGAUUAAUUUGUUGGUUUGUAAUUAUUUUAAGCCUUUUUAGCCUUUUUGUA